ACGAACGCUGGCGGCGUGGAUAAGACAUGCAAGUCGAACGGGGCAAUCUUGUAGCAAUACCGGGUUGUUCAGUGGCGAACGGGUGCGUAACACGUGGAUUACAUACCGGAAAGCGAGGAAUAGCCCAGGGAAACUUGGAUUAAUACCUCAUGUGGUCGCAAGACUAAAGGCGGGGCAACCUGUCGCUUUCUGAUUGGUCCGCGGCCUAUCAGCUAGUUGGCGGGGUAACGGCCCACCAAGGCGACGACGGGUAGCUGGUCUGAGAGGAUGACCAGCCACACUGGAACUGAGACACGGUCCAGACACCUACGGGUGGCAGCAGUCGAGAAUCAUUCACAAUGGGGGCAACCCUGAUGGUGCGACGCCGCGUGGAGGAUAAGGUCUUCGGAUUGUAAACUCCUGUCAUGCGAGAGCAAGAUUUGAGCGGGUAACUCCGCUGAAUUUGAUAGUAUCGCAAGAGGAAGAGACGGCUAACUCUGU
rnacentral:rRNA from 1 species